rnacentral:lncRNA from 1 species
UGGUUCAAGCUUCCUUGGUGGUGGCAGUAUGCUUCACUACACCUUUUUUACUUCUCUUAAUUAGUCCCACCUUGUAAAUGGUCCCUCUGUUAGUCCCUCCUCAAUUGGCCUCUUUGAGCAUCCUACCUGCUUACUGUCAGGAUGUGCUCUACCAUAAAAGGGAGGGAGAAGAAUGCCAGCACCCCUAUUGCUAAGGAUUCAUAAUCUAAACAAUGUCUUUAUUUUGACCCUGUGCCUCGCCAGUAAAUUGUCUGCUUAUGAAGAAGGGGAUAGACUUGGAAGAAAGACAUCAGGGUCAGUUUUAAAACCUCAUGAGAAGCCCUAGAAGGAGUUCCUGAUUUCAAAUGCAAGAAGAUCUCUUUAGAAGGUAUUAUCACUUUGUGCUUCUUUCCUCUUCAUUCAGCAAUUUUUAAUUCUGGAGCAACAGAAAAAGUCCAUUCCACAUCCUGAAAGGUCUCCAUUGACCAAUUCGUAUAGUCAAAACUCAAGAUAAAUACGCACUGUUAUAAAUGGAGCUAAUUUGCCAGGACUAGAUUUAUCUCUAAAUUUGGAUUCUCACUAGCAUGAAUAAUCAACAGUUAAUGGAUACUUGAGGUUUUCUCUUAUCUGUCUCAUUACUUUCCCAAGAAGUUAUUCAUACCGAAUUCUAGCAUUUGUUCUCGGAAGCCUUUGAUUAUGUUUUUAACACACAUCCAAUGUCAAAACAAUACUCCCAGGACACUAAUACAGAGAUUCAUCUAACAGCAUAUUUAACAAAAUAGCUGCUUUGAGGGAGAACAGGAGCAUGGUCCUUUAGAGGCACUGCGCUGUGUGUUUCACUUAGUUGUAAUAAAACACUACCUGAGAGCCGUCUCCAGCUAACCUUAUGCUUUAUCUGCAUUUUUUUUUUUUAGCUUAUUAAAUGUGAAGGCAUUCAGAGUGUGAGUGAAAUUGCCAGUGAACUCUAUUUCAUGUUGAAGAUCAGCAGGGGUCUUUUGGAGGCCUUCAAUUUUUCUCUGAGUGUCAGGAAAUCAGAUUAUUGCAUCCAGCUGCAAGCUGUUUUGAUUGAACUGAAAGUCUGAUUUAAUUUAGUACAAAUGGCAAAUUACUCCUCUCUUUAUCCUUGAACUGCAUGUACCCACAAAGUACUAUAUUUCAGGACAUUUUUGAAAGUUCAGAAUAGAAACCUGAUCUCUAAAGAUUCCUUCUCAAUGCCUUGACCAUUUGUAAAAUGCCACCGUGUCCUGGAGCAGCAGAAACAUGACACAUGCAUCUCUACCCUCAGGCUGGUCCAGAAGAUGUGUAUUGAUUCCACAGUUCUACGUGCAGCAAGAAAGAUGCAUGAAGAUUCUUGAUGAAAUAGAACAGAGCUUGGAUUAUUUCUUUUUUGAUCCCACUUAAAGGGAAACUGAUUUCAAGAUGGUCCUAAACUCUAAGUGAUACUGUUAUUCAAAAUGCUGAACGAAACUAAGAAAGAAAAACUUCCAGAGGGCUAGGCCUUGUACAGCAUAGUGUUUCAAGAAGGCAAAACAACAUCUGGUUUUCUUCAAUCUUCUUGCACAGCACAGCUUUCCGGAAUCACUCUUUAGUAGAAGAUUUUAGGAGAAACAAAAGAACUUAAACAUUACAGCAUUAUGUCAAUACCAUCCUCUAGAAGCCAUUCACAAUUUCUGAGGCUUCCUGUUGAAAAAUCAUACAACUUCAAAACAUGCAAGUCAGGAGGUCUCUUUGAGGGUCCAAUGCCAGUGUUUCUGUGGGAGUGGUGAUAUUCACUAUGAAGUUGAAAGGCCAUAAAAUGAACUUGUCUGGUCUUCUUUUAAGGAGGUUUCAAGUAACAAAAAUGAGCAGGUUACAUUUCACUCCAUUUAAAGAUCACAAUAAUGGUGAAGUUUUCCAAUGGCUCUUUAAAUUGUCUUCCCUUAACACAAUCACAUCUUCAGAGGAAAAAAAAAAAAGUCUAGGUAGGCAGCAAGUCCCGUGGCAAUCUCUGAAGACAAGAGUUGAUACACCUUCUUCCCUUCCGAUGCCAUGGGGGCUUAUGUGGUUCUUACACUCAGUCACUUCUUCAGCUUCUCUUCCCUCUUUCAUUCAUGCCAAUUCAACCCUGCUCCCACACAUAUCUAGGGGACUCCCCUAAACACAACCCUACCUGCACUAAACAGAUUCAGAGCUUUAAUAAGACACCAGGAGCUCCCUGGUGGCUCAGUGGGUUAAGGACCUGGCAUUGCCACUGCUGUGACGUGGGUUUGAUCCCUGGCCGAGGAAGUUCCACAUAACUUGGGCAUGGCCAAAAAAGAUAAAAAAUAAAUAAAUAAGCAAAUAAACAAACAACACUCCUUAUUUCAGCCAAGAAUGCCACAGCGCUGAAGAUGUGUUUUCAUAUUGCUGCCUUGUUCUCCAACUACAUUGGUAGAACAGUCACAAACCUUCCUUUCUUUUCCAACUCUCUUAAAAUCUGAUAAUGCCACACUUCUUAAAUAUCACUGCAUGACACUGAGCACAGGUUCUGCAAUGGGUUCACAACCUUUCUCUACAACACCUAAUUCAACAAAUACACCUUAUCAAAAAAUAAAAUUGUGUUCUGGAAUCAUGCAUAGUCACGUCCAUUUAUGGAAACUGGCCUAUAAUAUUUCUUGCUAUAUUGCUCUUAAAACAAAAACAACAGGUAAAAUGGCUUAAAAUAAGGUUAUUGCCUAGAAAAAUGCAGUUAUCCCAAUUACACAGCAUAGAACACAAUACAGAAAUAUAAUGGCCAAAGGUUUGGAUCCUCAUAAGCCACACAAUACUCUUUUCCUUUAUUUAUUUUCAAAACUUAAACUUUUCAAAGUACUCCUGGGAAAAUAUUGGGAAUUAUCAAGGCCAUCCACUCCUACUGAGUUUAGUGUUCUAGACUAUUAUGGUUACUACUGUGACAUCUGAGAAAAGAAUUAGAUAUGAUUUUCUGUUAAGGGAAUUUCAGGUUAAUACAUGCUAAUAAAUGCUGAACUGAACUUAUUAAGAUAAAAUGUUCUUGUAAAUCAAAUGAUAGUCAUUUUCUUAAAAAAAAAAUGAGGAUAGCAGGUGUUCCAAUCUGAAUCAUUCAUUUGCAGCAUGAUUUAAAAUUAGCAAACGUCAACAUGAUGGAGGGUUUGUUUCUGAAAAUAGAGAUUACGCAGACCAUGUUCAAUGCAUGCACUGAAGCAUAAAUAAUAAUCCUUCAUGGUGCUCUUUGGUUUACACUACACUUUUUCACAUGCAUCAAGUUAUUUGCUGCUUGUUACAACUUUGCUACAGAGAAACAAAGAAUUUUUCAUUAUCCUCAUUUUUCGGAUGAGGAGAUCAGGGUUCAAAAAGAUUUAAUGAGACACCCAGGGUCAUGUAAUUCAAACAUUGCAGGAUAUAGAGGAAGCAUUAAAAGGCAAGUCUUCUGACCACCUAUUCUGUACUUAUUCCGACAUAUCAUGAAAAGCCUCCAGCAUAUUGAACAUUACACGCAGAAAAAUAGAUCCCAAAUUCAGAUAUUACAACAGACUCAGGGUUGUUGCCUUAGAAAACACCCAGCUUAUGAAGCAGAGGUAGUGGAGAGAAAAUGAAAAUCACACCAUUUUCCCCUCACUGUUUUCCUGAUGACCGGUAUUUUUUUAUUAUUAUUAUUAAAAAGAAAUGCAUUCAGCCUGGCUAUGCAUUCUAAUUUUAUUCUUCUAAUUGUUUUCUUAUGAUUAAUAUUUUCUCAUUCCUAAGUUUUGUCAAAAGUGAAUUCAAAUAUAGCAGAAUUUGGAACAGCCUUACACCAGAUACACACACAGACACAAAAAAAGACCUUCAUUAAAGCAUAAAUGAAAGGAAUUGAAGGUGCAUCAUGGCUUUUUACUGUGGUUCAAUGUAUAACGGCCCACUUUGACAGAUAAAUGGCCAAUAUUUCACAAAACUGUCUAUUUUCUCACUGAAGCAAGAUAUCUCUUCUUUGCACAUGGCUCACAAAUUACAAAUCUGUUCUGAUUGCUGGUAAUGUUAUGGACUGGAUGAUUAAAAGAACAUUUGAAUGAUAAUGCUGCCUUAUCUGCAGCCCAAGACAGAAAGUAGGGGGAAAUAUACCCAUGACUCAAACUCACAGUUUCUUGUAAGGAAAAAAAAAAAAAAAGGUAACAUUGUGGCAAUGGUUUUGGUACAAAUGGCAGGAGAUUUAAUAGAACUGAUCCCUAGCCACUAAAAUGAGAAGCUAGUCAAAGGUAGUGAGACACUGGCCCUAGACAGACCACUGUUGCACAGUGUAGGCACACAACAGGCAGCAAAGAUUGAUGCUCCCACUAACCAGAGGACCAACAUCAAUUCUUCAUAAUAAUUUAAAACAAUAUUUUAGAAAUAACAUUAAUACUGAAAUCAUGUAAAAAUCAGGACACUGUUGGAAUUUCUUAUAAAUUUUAUGGAUUAAUUUUAAUUGUGUUUUAAAUUACAUAUUAAGGGUUUGGGGCAGCAAAAUAUUUUCAGUGCUUAUUAUGAACCCCAUAAGUCUUAUCUGACCCAUGCUUUUACUUUUUGGCAUUCCUUGUCUUGAUGUGAAAAUGAUCACUGAUAAUAAAGAGCAUCCAUAAAUUAGGGUCAGAAUCUCAGAAAGUGGGAAAGUAUGGGAUUUGCAAAUAAGACUUGAACUUCUUACACAUCACAAGAGGACUUUUUAUGAUAACAGGAAUUUUUAAUUUUAAUUUUAGGGAUUUUUAAUUUUUUAAUUUCCCCCAAUGCAUUAUUUUUUUCUUCUGUACAGCAUGGUGACCCAGUUACACAUAUAUGUAUACAUUCUUUUUUCUCACAUUAUGCUCCAUCAUAAGUGACUAGACAUAGUUCCCAGUUCUACACAGCAGGAUCCCAUUGCUAAUCCAUUCCAAAGGCAAUAGUUUGCAUCUAUAAACCCCAAACACCUGAUCCAUCCUACUCCCUCACCCUCCCCCUUGGCAACCACAAGUCUAUUCUCCAAGUCCAUGAUUUUCUUUUCUGUGGAAAGAUUCAUUUGUGCCAUAUAUUAAAUUCCAGAUAUAAGUUAUAUCAUGUGGUAUUUGUCUUUCUCUUUCUGACUUACUUCACUCAGUAUGAGAGUUUCUAGAUCCAUCCAUGUUGCUGCAAACUAUACAUAGAACUACCAUAUGACCCAGCAAUCCCAUUCUUGGGCAUAUAUCUGGACAAAACUUUCCUUAAAAAAGACACACACACCCCGCAUGUUCAUUGCAGCACUAUUCACAAUAGCCAAGACAUGGAAACAACCCAAAUGUCCAUUAACAGAUGAUUGGAUUAGGAAGAUAUGGUGUAUAUAUAAUGGAAUAAUACUCAACCAUAAAAAAAAGAACAGGAAUUUUUAAAGGAACAAGAGAUGAAAGGGAUCAAGACAGCCUUAACUUUUCCCUCAGCUGGACUGAACUUUAGAAAAGCUUCUUCCUGACUCAAGGCCCCUGACCUCACUUCUCCUAUAAAACAUCUACUUUAUAAAAUUUGUAAUGUUAGAUUAUUCCUCUAUCCUUUCAAGAUGGGAAUCUUUUCAAAAUCCUCUUGCCAGAUUUGCAAUCAGGACUGUCUUUUCCUGGCCCUAGGAACCAUCCCUUUAAAAUAGGAUC